rnacentral:snRNA from 1 species
UCGCUUUGGCAGCACAUACACUAAAACUGGAACAAUACAGAGAAGAUUAGCAUGGCCCCUGUGCAGGGAUGAUCCACAAAUUUGUGAAGAUUCCAUGUGUUU